GCCCGCGUGGCCUAAUGGAUAAGGCGUCUGACUUCUAAUCAGAAGAUUGCCUGUUCGAUCCCGGCCGUGGGCU
rnacentral:tRNA from 1 species